rnacentral:rRNA from 1 species
AUUUGAACGCUGGCGGAAUGCUUUACCCAUGCAAGUCGAACGGCAGCACGGGAGCUUGCUCCUGGUGGCGAGUGGCGAACGGGUGAGUAACAUAUCGGAACGUACCCAGUCGUGGGGGAUAACUAUCCGAAAGGAUAGCUAAUACCGCAUACGUCCUGAGGGAGAAAGCGGGGGAUCGCAAGACCUCGCGCGAUUGGAGCGGCCGAUAUCGGAUUAGCUAGUUGGUGGGGUAAAGGCUCACCAAGGCGACGAUCCGUAGCGGGUCUGAGAGGACGACCCGCCACACUGGAACUGAGACACGGUCCAGACUCCUACGGGAGGCAGCAGUGGGGAAUUUUGGACAAUGGGGGCAACCCUGAUCCAGCCAUUCCGCGUGAGUGAAGAAGGCCUUCGGGUUGUAAAGCUCUUUCAGCAGGAACGAAACGGUCGGCUUUAAUAAAAUCGGCUAAUGACGGUACCUGCAGAAGAAGCACCGGCUAACUACGUG